AGUAUGUUGCCCCAGGGGGAAUCUUUUGAUUUGCAGCUUUCAAAGGCAACAUCUGUACUCAUCAGUUUUGAAUGGACUUGUGUUAUUCUCUCAAGUUCCCUAUAAUCAGUCUUUAACACAGAAAAAUAAGGAGAAAUCCACCAAAAGCAGUGGAAUCUGGUCCCUUGGUAUAUCUGGAAGGUAUACAACAGCACUCCCACUAAGGAAAGUCGUUCCCUUCCAUACAUCAGCCUGAAACAGCAUUUAACAGCCCGUGUUCGGUUCCUCCGCCUGUCCCCACACUCCCAAAGUCUCUGAAAUCUACAGCUAAGCGAUUGCAAGUUUAUGUGCCUUGACCACUGCUUUUAAAAUACCCCCUGGUUACGAAAAGUGCUUCAUAGACAGACUCCCGAAAGAACCCAGGUUAUAAAGAAUACUCUCUCUUCCUGGGAAUAAAGCCGAGGGAGGAAAUACUAUCAGCCUGGCAUAAUCUCAAGCUAAUUAUGAAUUUGGCUUUGGCUACCUAGUCCAGAAAGGUUUCUGCAGUUGGCACUGGCUACGCAUUGAGCCAGCUGGAGUCUGUACAAGGGGGAACAGUCCCAUCAAGUUUGGGAACCAGAAGGACCAGGCUGGCCUAGUUGGGCUGCUGUCCUCUGGCCUCUCCCAAAUGAUGGCCUUGGGAUCUCUUUACUGCCUAGUGUGGACACAGCCCUCAUAGGAUGCUCUUACCAUUAGCACAGACACACCAUUCCACCUGCAGGGGGCUCAGGUGGAUUUUUCUAGGCUUUUCUGAGAAGAACGCAGGGAAGUUUUUCUAGAAGGACAGCUCUCUGGUGGAGACAAAGUGUCUGCAAGGCAGUGAGGGGAGCGCAAACAUACAUGAGAGUUUUCAGUCCAGUGAUGGAGAAAAACCAGCUUGGUAAACAGAAGUUUGAGCAGUCCCAACUCCCUACGGUCUGAAUACGAAGCUCUGGGCAGGAUGUGAUACGUGCAUAAAAAUGAGGUGAGAAAACUCCCUUGUGAAAGGUGCUCUCCCUGUAUCAGGAGGAAGGGAAGAUAUUCUUAUCAUCAGAGACAGAGAGCUGGGAGCCAAGAAACCUGUACCAACAAGCUACUUAAACUAACCCUUCUCUUCCUGGUUGCUUCUUCACUGCUUAUGACACCUAGUCCGUCAUUUACUAUACUCCCUUGAUCCAUUUUGUCUCCCAUUCUUCCAGACACCUAUCCAAACUCUCCUCUCCGCCUAUGUUCAACUUCCCUUCCCCCGUCUCCACCCUCAGCAGAGAACUUUGCUAAUUCUCUGAGAAAGGGAAAAGCAUCAAAAGACAGCCUCCACAAGCCCCCAUUACCAGCUACAGAAAUUAACUCGAAAUGGAUCAUAGACCUAAAUGAAUAUGCCGAAGCCAUAAAAUCUUUAGAAGAAAACAUAGCAGUAAAUCUUUGUGAUCUUGGCUUAAGAAAAAGUUUCUUAGAUACGACACCAAAAUCACAAAUAACAGAAGAAAAAUAAAUCGGAGAAGUAAAAAUAAAAAUAACCUCUGUGCUUCAAAGGAUGUCAUUAGAAAAUGGAAAGACAACCCACAGAACAACAGAAAAUAUUUGCAAAACAUACUCGAUAGGGAACUUGUGUCUAGAAUUUAUAAAGGGCUCUUCUGAACGCAAUGAUAAAAAGACAACCGUGGGCAAUGGAUCUGAGUAGACAUUCUCCGAAGGAGAUAUACAGAAGGCCAAUGAGCAUAUUAAAAGGUAUUCAGUAUCACUAGUCAUUAAAGAAAUACAAAAAAAAAAA